rnacentral:lncRNA from 1 species
AACUCGAGUUAUAAUUUUAAAUCAAAAUUCGAUUUGGAUUACAAUUGAGGGAAUAGGGUUGAGAUUCGAGAGAAUCAAGACUUUUUUUUUUUGGGUUAGAUUCAGAUAUUUUUAAAUGUAACCCAAUCGAAUAUGAUGCUCGGUUCAGUUUUAGCUUGAAUUGAAUCCAAAUUAGAUCGAUUUCAAUUCUCAACCAGAUUUAUUUUUAGGCUCGAACUGAAAUGAAAUUCAAUUUUAUUCAAUUCAACUCGAGCCAAGCACCCACUCCUAGUUAAAAUAUAAGAACCAUCUAAUUAUGACGUACUAAUUAGGUGAUCCGAUUGUCUUAAACUCAAUUUUAAAUUACAUUGUAAUAAAGUUGAUGAGGUAUUACACAAUCUUUCGAGGGUGGCUGCUUGUAAGUAAAUCUCUUGACUGUUUUUGCACCCAUGUCUCCUUUAUCAUUGUUAGAAUCCUUAAUUAGAGAUUCAGAUUGUUUCUCUCCUGAUGAAACUUCAAACAUGAUAAAUCAUAUUUCUUAAAAUCUUACAUUUUAUAAAAGUGAGUAAAAAUAUUAGUAUUUUAUCACACAACAAAACAUCAAAGCCCACGAGUUGAUUCAUGAAUUGAUGAUGUUGCAUAAUGUAAAAGCCUCACUUGGUUACAUUUUCCAAUUUCAAGAAAGUUAUUAUUGAUAUUCCCAUAUGCUUUGCCUUGGUUUCUAAGAUGCUAUCAAUUGUUUUGUUGAAUGUUGAAUCUCUCAAUACUCAUUUAAGGCUUUAGAGGAUGGACAAAAUCAUACCAAAAUGUAUGUGACUCCCUUUUCUUAUUGCGGUGAGAGGUAACAAACAUGGAAAAAGAAUCCUAGUUACUUUAUGGUAAUUGGUAAAAUGUACUACAGCUGGGAUGUAUUGGCACGCUAGAUCAAGCCAAAACCUAUGUUGUUCAUGGUACUUGCUCUGACAAAGUUGUGGCUUGUGUGUUUUUAUCUCCCUUUUUUUAAAAUUUUAAUUAAAUAAGGGUUUAUAAUUCAAUGUUUAUAAGUUUUGAAAAUAAGUAAAUUUGUUAGCCUUGAUAACAACUAAAAUGGAAGUAUUUAAAAUGAUUUCCUGCUAUAUUUUGUUUUUGAAGUUUUUCUAAGCUUCAGUCUCAGCUCCUUUCUCCUCUUCUUUACCCUCCCCUCAUUCUUCCUCUAUUUACCUUUUAUAAGCAACAGACUUGACAAGAUCCUUUUAUUUUAUUAUUAUUAUAUAUAUAUAUAUAUAUUUUUUUUUUUAUUUAUACAUAAAAGUGAGUGAUAGUCAGGUGGCGAAGUGCCUGUGGCCACCUAACAAUCAUGGCUCGCUUCCUCUUUUUUAUUUUUUUUAAUUACAUCUUUUUAAUAAUACAUUCUAAACGAAUUAAUCAAUUUAUCUUCUCGUUUCCUAUUUUUAGUUUCAAUUUCUUUUUUAUUCAUGAGAUAUAAAAAUUAACAUAAAAUUAAUAUACUGUAAAUUA